rnacentral:rRNA from 1 species
UACGGAGGAUGCGAGUGUUAUCCGGAUUUAUUGGGUUUAAAGGGUGCGUAGGCGGAUCGUUAAGUCAGUGGUCAAAUUGAGGGGCUCAACCCCUUCCCGCCAUUGAAACUGGCGCUCUUGAGUGGAAGAGAAGUAUGCGGAAUGCGUGGUGUAGCGGUGAAAUGCAUAGAUAUCACGCAGAACCCCGAUUGCGAAGGCAGCAUGCCGGCUUCCGACUGACGCUGAAGCACGAAAGCGUGGGGAUCGAACAGG